rnacentral:sRNA from 1 species
CAAACCCUGGCUCACCUCUCGAACACUGCUGCCUGCGGGCGAGGACCCAUACCCUCCCGGGGUCUCUCCCUGAGUCUGUGUUCUCUGCCGUAGGCAAGAUUGAGCAGGAGAAGAAGGAGCAGAAGGAGAUCGAGCACCACAUGAAGGACCUGGACAACGACCUGAAGAAGCUCAACAUGUUGAUGAAUAAAAACCGGUGCAGCUCGGAGGAGCUGGAGCAGAACAACCGGGUGACGGAGAAUGAGUUCGUGCGCUCGCUGAAGGCCUCUGAGAGGGAGACCAUCAAGAUGCAGGACAAGCUGAACCAGCUCAGCGAGGAGAAGGCGACCCUCCUGAAUCAACUGGUGGAAGCAGAACACCAGAUUAUGCUUUGGGAGAAAAAAAUCCAACUGGCAAAAGAGAUGCGUUCCUCAGUGGAUUCCGAGAUCGGCCAGACAGAGAUCCGGGCUAUGAAGGGCGAGGUCCACAGGAUGAAGGUCAGGUUCGGGCAGCUGCUGAAGCAGCGGGAGAAGAUGAUCCGUGCCAUGGAGCUGGCGGUUGCCCGCAGAGAG